rnacentral:tRNA from 1 species
GUCUGGGUGGUGUAGUUGGUUAUCACGUUAGUCUCACACACAAAAGGUCCCCAGUUCGAACCUGGGCUCAGACA